rnacentral:rRNA from 1 species
UGAGCUGUUGGCAGUCGCAGAUACCAGGCUGCUGCAACUGUUUAUUAAAAACACAGCACUCUGCAAACACGAAAGUGGACGUAUAGGGUGUGAUGUCUGCCCGGUGCUGGAAGGUUAAUUGAUGGGGUUAGCGUAUGCGAAGCUCUUGAUCGAAGCCCCAGUAAACGGCGGCCGUAACAAUAACGGUCCUAAGGUAGCGAAAUUCCUUGUCGGGUAAGUUCCGACCUGCACGAAUGGUGUAACGAUCUGGACACUGUCUCAGCCAUGAGCUCGGUGAAAUUGUAGUAGCGGUGAAGAUGCCGCUUACCCGCAGUGGGACGAAA